rnacentral:ncRNA from 1 species
UUGAAUAAUCGGCAAACUACUCGAAAGGGUAGGGCGCAAAGCUAUAGGGGCUACGUCUAUGCACAAUAGAUAUGCCAGCCAGUUGCCCUU